CUCCUCUCAUUCAACCCUAUCCUCACCAGACGAGAUCUGAAGCCGCCGGCAGCAGGGCUCCCCCAAGUACCACGAGAAAAUGAGCUGCAGCCUGGGCUCAUGGAUUAAAGUUUGAAACCAGCUUUCAUAGACCCGGAUGCUAUUGAAGUGAUAGCUGGCUUGACUUUGCUUUUCUUCAAAGCAUCUUGACAAACCAAAAUCCGUCAUUUUUGGCACCAUGUUUUCGUCUAGCAAUAUAUUUGCAGGUUUUAGGUCUAAGUGGUGAAUAUCGAUCUCUGAAUAUAUUGAUAACCUUCACAAAUUUGCUGAUUAUUUUGUAGAGCUAUUAUUGUCCCACAUGCAUAUCCAUGACUAAAAAAAGCAAAAAAGUAAUAAUUGGGUGUUGUGUUCUCACAAAGAAAGAUGGAAAAGUUUAACAAAAACUUGUGAAGGAAGAUGAAUGCUUUGAUUAUGCAUGAAUCCAUAAUGAUAAAGUGCUAUUGAAUGAUCAAGUAAUUUGUAAGGUUUUUAUUAUCUUCGCAAGAGUUGUAUUGUUAAUUUAGACCUAGACAUGCAAGUAUAUUUCUAGGAGAAAGCACAAUGCUGAAAGUUGUGGAUUUUUGUCUCUCAAGUUGCUUGGAGGAAAAACAAAGCCAGGCUAUUGCUUCAAAACAGUUUGGAUCUAUGUAUGAAAGCAGGGACAUUGAUGACCUGUGUUGGCCCACUUGUUUGCCUGAUAACAAGGUAUGUAUAUAUCAUAACCUAUGGUUGCAAUACUCACUUGCAAGGUCGAAAUCAUGGGGAGCAUCGUAGAAACACAUACUAUGCACAUAAUAGUCAAUUGACCACAAAGAGUAUAUUCAGACAUCAGUUGUGCUGGUAUACUCACUUAUGUUCCAUGACAUGCUUCAGUAACCUCUUUUUUUAGAGCCUAGUGUACAUCUUUAGGUACUUCAAGCUGGUGGAGGAGGUCAAGUGGCAUUAGUUGUCUAAGAGAUAAAUGUUCCAAAGAGCUGCAGCGAAGUCCACCAAUGUACAAUUGUUGUUUAGCACCAGACAGAGUACAUGUAUUAGAUCAUUUUGCCUUCAGUAUUAAGCCGAUUGUCUUGGUUGUUAUUAUAUCUGAUGGAGUACAUAUUUGGAGGAAUCCUUUAUAGUUUAUUGCAAAAAGAGUGUAAUGUCUUACCUUCAUAACCUAUGCGUGAUAUAUGUAUUGCGUCCUGAGAUAAUAAAUGGCAAUAUUCUGUACAGUUA